rnacentral:snRNA from 1 species
GUGCUCGCUUUGGCAGCACAUAUAUUGGAAUGAUACAGAGAAGAUUAGCAUGGCCCCUGCACAAAGAUGACAUGCAAAUUCAUGAAGCAUUCCAUAUUUUA